GAUGAAGAACGUAGCGAAAUGCGAUACGUAAUGUGAAUUGCAAAUUCAGUGAAUCAUCGAGUCUUUGAACGCACAUUGCGCCCCCUGGUAUUCCGGGGGGCAUGUCUGUCCGAGCGUCAUUGCUGCCCUCAAGCACGGCUUGUGUGUUGGGCCCCGUCCUCCGAUUCCGGGGGACGGGCCCGAAAGGCAGCGGCGGCACCGCGUCCGGUCCUCGAGCGUAUGGGGCUUUGUCACCCGCUCUGUAGGCCCGGCCGGCGCUUGCCGAUCAACCCAAAUUUUUAUCCAGGUUGACCUCGGAUCAGGUAGGGAUACCCGCUGAACUUAAGCAUAUCAAUAAGCGGAGGA
rnacentral:misc_RNA from 1 species